rnacentral:rRNA from 1 species
CAGUAGCCGCGGGAAUACGUAGGUGGCAAGCGUUGUCCGGAAUUAUUGGGCGUAAAGGGCUCGCAGGCGGUUUCUUAAGUCUGACGUGAAAGCCCCCGGCUCAACCGGGGAGGGUCAUUGGAAACUGGGAAACUUGAGUGCAGAAGAGGAGAGUGGAAUUCCACGUGUAGCGGUGAAAUGCGUAGAGAUGUGGAGGAACACCAGUGGCGAAGGCGACUCUCUGGUCUGUAACUGACGCUGAGGAGCGAAAGCGUGGGGAGCGAACAGGAUUAGAUACCCCCGUAGUCCCUGUCUCUUAUAC